UACGUAGGGUGCGAGCGUUAAUCGGAAUUACUGGGCGUAAAGCGUGCGCAGGCUGUUCUGUAAGUCAGAUGUGAAAUCCCCGAGCUCAACUUGGGAACUGCGUUUGAAACUACAGGACUAGAAUAUGUCAGAGGGGGGUAGAAUUCCACGUGUAGCAGUGAAAUGCGUAGAGAUGUGGAGGAAUGACCAAUGGCGAAGGCAGCCCCCUGGGAUAAUAUUGACGCUCAUGCACGAAAGGCGUGGGGAGCAAACAGGAUUACGAA
rnacentral:rRNA from 1 species